rnacentral:lncRNA from 1 species
CUGAGUCACUGUAGAUGCUGUAGCCACAGGCCACUGUAGAUGCUGUAGAAAGCAGCUAGAUUCCCAUACUGCAGAUAUAAGGCCGUCUGAGAUGGUUUAGCCUGCUGUAGCCGGGUGCUCCAGCUGAAAGAGACUGCAACAUCUAAGGAGAAUGGAAACAGGGUGUCAAGGAAUAACCUGACUUCUACAAGGCAGCCUUGCAGGAUACUGGAAGUCAUAAAUGAGGACCAACUGGCCCUGGAAGAAUUAAACAUAAUUCAAGAAACAAUUAAGAAUAUUUUAAAAAUUGUAAUCAGCAUUCAGAGAGAUCAAGAGAGUGCUGCAUCCAUAAGAAUGAGGAACUUGAUAAUGAAAUUCAAAAUUCAAUGGGGUAAGCUGAAUAAUAUAAUGGACAAGAGUGAAAACCAAACCAAAUUGGAAAUUUGAAAAGGAAAUCUCCAGUUUACAGAGCAAAAGUACAUAGAAAGAAAAUAGAGAAAAGUCAAGAGACAUGGAAGAUAAAUCAGAAGGUUCAUAAUCUGCCCAAGAACAGUUUUAAUAGAAAAAUAUACAUUUAAAAAUACGGAGAAAAAGCAUUUCCUGAACUGAAAAAAGUAGGAGUUUUCAGAUUGAAACAGUCCACAGUAUGUCAAGAAGUAUUUAUUAACCAAAGACCAUGGUCUAGACAUGUUCUGAUGGAGUGGCAGACUCUAAGGAUAAAAACAAAAAGUAUAAAAGCUAGAGUUCCCAUCAUGGUGCCUCGGAAAUGACUCCAACUAGGAACCAUGAGGUUGCAGGUUCAAUCACUGGCCUUGCUCAGUGGGUUAAGAAUCCAGCAUUGCUGUAAGUUGUGGUGUAGGUCACAGAUGCAACUUGGAUCUGGCAUUGCUGUGGUUAUGGCGUAGGUUGGCAGCUACAGGUCUGAUUAGACCCCUAGCCUGGGAAUCUCCAUAUGCCAUGGGUGCUGCCCUAAAAAGACAAAAGAAAAAAGACAAAAAAGUAUAAAAGCUUACAGAGCAAGGAAAAGUGGUACCCUGAAAAGUAACAGGACUGACAUGAGAUUUCUUCUCAAUAGCUAUACUGGAUGCUAGAAGUCUAUGAUGCAAUGUCCUCAAAUUUCUGAGGAAAAAUCAUUUUUUAGUUUAUAAAAUAGAGUUUUACACCUAGCUAAACUGUCAACAAGAGGAUGGCACACCAUAUAGUCUUUUUUAAGGUAUGGAAGAAAUUAUAAUGUUAUCAUAUUUGUUUCCUAUGCCUGCUGUAACAAAUUACCACAAACUUGGUGGCUUAAAAAGACAGAAGUAUAUCCUUUCAUCAUCCUGGAGUACAGAUGAAAUGAGUAUCAUUGGAC